rnacentral:lncRNA from 1 species
UUGUUCUAAAACAAAUAUAAAAUAUAAUACAUAUAAUAAAGAAAAUCCAAUAAAUAAGAAAAUGAAAUUUAUAUGUAUUCAAACUACAAUAUUCAUCUAACGAUCCAAACUAUAUCAUUAAAGUAUUCAUAACUGUUUCAACACUAUAUUUUCCAAAAUAUCCUAAUAUAAGUAACCACCGGCAGCAAAAUUCUUGUACCAAAAACCAAAGUCCGCUAAAAUUCUAGCAGUAAAUCACUUGUAGAGUCUUAGUAGUGAGAGGCCAGCAAUUAAUCCCUCCUCCGAUCACCACCACUCUUUUAUUCUUUCCUCUUCAUUUGUUCACCAUGCCCUUAAACGUUGCAUCUGCAAAUCCUUUAUAUGCAGACCUGAAUUAUAGCACCAUGAAAAAUUAAAAAAAAAAAGUUUAACAAGCAUUUUACUAUUUUUUUUAUCAAAGAAGCUUACCACGAGCAAAAUAUUUUAAGUAAAAAGAAUUGACAUUAACAUCUUCUAUUAAUGCUCACAUGUUAAACAUUUAUAUAACCUUAAGCAUCCAAAAAUGUCCCGGAAUCAAAUAACUUCCAUACUGCACUUGUCUGUAUAACACUGGAGCGAAAAAGAUAAGAAUUUUAAGCACAAUAAAAAAAAAUGAAGAUUUCAAUAAAAGAAAAUAAUUGAGCUGAAGUAACUACUACCUAAUCACAUGAAAAAAAUAUAUAUUAUAGGCAUUUCAUGUGUAGAUGCAUUAUUCCAUUUCCAAACAAAAUCAAACUGUAAAUGCACCCAAACACUUAGACAGCUUGAUGCAAAGAGAUGAGUGGUUUAAAUCACGAUUUUAAAUUAUUCAUGAAGUAGAAAAAUGCAAAAUCGAAGUAAACUACAACAACAGAGUGCACUGGAAAUGCAAGUUGAAAUUAUGCCUUGCGUAUUAAAAUAUAGUUAAAGCAAAUUGAAGAAAUUCAAGCCGGUGCUCUUCUAUGUGUUUUGAAGGAGGUUCUGUUUCAAUAAAAGACUAGUUAAUAGAGUGGGGAUAUUGUUUGAAGCAAAUAAUACAUGUAAACAUACGCAUGCAUCCAAUUCAGGUUGGGUAACACCAAAUGCUGCUAGUUAUAUAAAUUUUUUAACGGCAAUGUUAGGCCGACUCUUCAUUAAAGCCUCAAGCGAAAACACUAAAGGGUGUGUUUGGUUGGAGGAUUAAAAGUGGGAAUUGGACUCUUUUUUUUAAAAUUUAUCCUAGUCUCAUGUUUUGAGCUUUCAAGAGUAUUAUGGUGCGUUUACUUCAUGGAAUGAGAAUGUGGUAGAAUGGGAACCGGCUCGAAAUAGGAAUGAACUGGAAUAAUAAUGAGAUUUCAAUGUUUACUUGGCAAAAAUAAAUGAAAAUGAGAAUGUGUUGAAAUGUCAUUGAUGUGUUUACUCGGCAAAAUAAAUGGGAACGAGGAAUGAAAAUGAAAAUUAAUUUAUCAAAAUACCCAUAGUAUUAAAUAAUGUAAUUUUCAU